rnacentral:tRNA from 1 species
GGCCCUUUCGUCUAACAGGCAAGGACACCGCCCCUUCAAGGCGGCAAUGCCGGGUUCAAAUCCCGCAGGGGUCACCA